rnacentral:snRNA from 1 species
AUGUUCUCUUUGGCAGCAUAUAUACUAAAAUUUGAUGAUACAGAGAAGAUUAGCAUAGCACCUGCACAA